UACGUAGGGGCGAGCGUUAUCCGGAAUUAUUGGGCGUAAAGGGUUCGCAGGUGGUCUGUUAAGUCAGAUGUGAAAGGCAGUGGCUCAACCAUUGCAAGCAUUUGAAACUGGCAGACUUGAGUACAGGAGAGGAAAGUGGAAUUCCUAGUGUAGCGGUGAAAUGCGUAGAUAUUAGGAGGAACACCAGUGGCGAAGGCGGCUUUCUGGACUGAAACUGACACUGAGGAACGAAAGCGUGGGGAGCAAACAGGAUUAGAUACCCUGGUA
rnacentral:rRNA from 1 species